GCCCAGGUGUUGGAACUGGUAGACAAGCGACACUUAAAAUGUCGUCUCAUUCGUGGGGUGUGGGUUCGACUCCCACCCUGGGCACUA
rnacentral:tRNA from 1 species